CCUACGGGUGGCAGCAGUGAGGAAUAUUGGGCAAUGGACGGAAGUCUGAACCAGCCAUGCCGCGUGCAGGAAGACGGCUCUAUGAGUUGUAAACUGCUUUUGUACAAGGGUAAACCUGAAUACGUGUAUUCAGCUGAAAGUACUGUACGAAUAAGGAUCGGCUAACUCCGUGCCAGCAGCCGCGGUAAUACGGAGGAUCCAAGCGUUAUCCGGAUUUAUUGGGUUUAAAGGGUGCGUAGGCGGAUUGAUAAGUUAGAGGUGAAAUGUCCGAGCUUAACUCGGGAACUGCCUCUAAUACUGUUGAUCUAGAGAGUAGAUGCGGUAGGCGGAAUGUAUGGUGUAGCGGUGAAAGGCUUAGAGAUCAUACAGAACACCGAUUGCGAAGGCAGCUUACCAAUCUAUAUCUGACGUUGAGGCACGAAAGCGUGGGGAGCAAACAGGAUUAGAUACCCCAGUAGUC
rnacentral:rRNA from 1 species